rnacentral:rRNA from 1 species
UCCGGUUGAUCCCGCCGGACCUGACUGCUAUCGGAUUGAUACUAAGCCAUGCGAGUCAUUGUAGCAAUACAAGGCAUACGGCUCAGUAACGCGUAGUCAACCUAACCUAUGGACGGGAAUAACCUCGGGAAACUGAGAAUAAUGCCCGAUAGAACACUAUACCUGGAAUGGUUUGUGUUCCAAAUGAUUUAUCGCCAUAGGAUGGGACUGCGGCCUAUCAGUUUGUUGGUGAGGUAAUGGCCCACCAAGACUAUUACAGGUACGGGCUCUGAGAGGAGUAGCCCGGAGAUGGGUACUGAGACACGGACCCAGGCCCUAUGGGGCGCAGCAGGCGAGAAAACUUUACAAUGUGCGAAAGCACGACAAGGUUAAUCCGAGUGAUUUGUGCUAAACGAAUCUUUUGUUAGUCCUAGAAACACUAACGAAUAAGGGGUGGGCAAGUUCUGGUGUCAGCCGCCGCGGUAAAACCAGCACCUCAAGUGGUCAGGAUGAUUAUUGGGCCUAAAGCAUCCGUAGCCGGCUCUGUAAGUUUUCGGUUAAAUCUGUACGCUUAACGUACAGGCUGCCGGGAAUACUGCAGAGCUAGGGAGUGGGAGAGGUAGACGGUACUCGGUAGGAAGUGGUAAAAUGCUUUGAUCUAUCGAUGACCACCUGUGGCGAAGGCGGUCUACCAGAACACGUCCGACGGUGAGGGAUGAAAGCUGGGGGAGCAAACCGGACUAGAUACCCGGGUAGUCCCAGCUGUAAACUAUGCAAACUCAGUGAUGCAUUGGCUUGUGGCCAAUGCAGUGCUGCAGGGAAGCCGUUAAGUUUGCCGCCUGGGAAGUACGUACGCAAGUAUGAAACUUAAAGGAAUUGGCGGGGGAGCACCACAAGGGGUGAAGCCUGCGGUUCAAUUGGAUUCAACGCCGGA